CAACUUCCCGGAUGGGGCUGUGGUGGGUCACAGUGCAGCCUCCAGCCAGAAGGAUGGGGUGGCUCCCACUCCUGCUGCUUCUGACUCAAUGCUUAGGGGUCCCUGGGCAGCGCUCGCCAUUGAAUGACUUCUAGGUGCUCCGGGGCACAGAGCUACAGCGCCGCUACAAGCGGUGGUGCCCGGGCCUUGGCAGGAGGAUGUGGCAGAUGCUGAAGAGUGUGCUGGUCGCUGUGGGCCCUUAAUGGACUGCCGGGCGUUCCACUACAAUGUGAGCAGCCAUGGUUGCCAACUGCUGCCAUGGACUCAACACUCACCCCACACGAGGCUGCGGCAUUCUGGGCGCUGUGACCUCUUCCAGGAGAAAGGUACAUGCCCACGCUCCGGAAUGGCCUGGAAGAGAACUUCUGCCGUAACCCUGAUGGCGACCCCGGAGGUCCUUGGUGCCACACAACAGACCCUGCCGUGCGCUUCCAGAGCUGCGGCAUCAAAUCCUGCCGGGUGGCCGCGUGUGUCUGGUGCAAUGGCGAGGAAUACCGCGGCGCGGUAGACCGCACCGAGUCAGGGCGCGAGUGCCAGCGCUGGGAUCUUCAGCACCCGCACCAGCACCCCUUCGAGCCGGGUUCCUCGACCAAGGUCUGGACGACAACUAUUGCCGGAAUCCUGACGGCUCCGAGCGGCCAUGGUGCUACACUACGGAUCCGCAGAUCGAGCGAGAAUUCUGUGACCUCCCCCGCUGCGGGUCCGAGGCACAGCCCCGCCAAGAGGCCACAAGUGUCAGCUGCUUCCGCGGGAAGGGUGAGGGCUACCGGGGCACAGCCAAUACCACCACCGCGGGCGUACCUUGCCAGCGUUGGGACGCGCAAAUCCCGCAUCAGCACCGAUUUACGCCAGAAAAAUACGCGUGCAAGUGAGGUGGGGGGGCGGGCGUUGGGACGUGCUGCUGCGGGUGAGACGGGAGGAGGGUAGUCACGGGCUUAGGGCUGGAGGCUGGCGGGCUAGGGCUGAGUGCAGCGCCUGCUUAGAGACCUUCGGGAGAACUUCUGCCGGAACCCCGACGGCUCAGAGGCGCCCUGGUGCUUCACACUGCGGCCCGGCAUGCGCGUGGGCUUUUGCUACCAGAUCCGGCGUUGUACAGACGACGUGCGGCCCCAGGGUGAGGCCCAAGCUUGGGGGCUACAGAGCCGGGGCUGGAAGCCUGGAACCGGAGGGCCGGGGCGGGGUCUCGGCCUGAUGGCUGCCCGCACCGGCCGCAGACUGCUACCACGGCGCGGGGGAGCAGUACCGCGGCACGGUCAGCAAGACCCGCAAGGGUGUCCAGUGCCAGCGCGGGUCCGCUGAGACGCCGCACAAGCCGCAGUGAAUCCCUGGUGCUCCCGGCCCCGCCAGGGCCCUAACCCUGGGGCGGCAUGCUUUGAUGUCUGGGACCAGAGCCUGGAAAUGGUUGAGACUACCCUGCCACGACUUCGCUCCCGCUCCCGCCUCGGUUCACGUUUACCUCCGAACCGCAUGCACAACUGGAGGAGAACUUCUGCCAGACCCAGAUGGGGAUAGCCAUGGGCCCUGGUGCUACACGAUGGACCCAAGGACCCCAUUCGACUACUGUGCCCUGCGACGCUGCGCUGAUGACCAGCCGCCAUCAAUCCUGGACCCCCCCAGACCAGGUGCAGUUUGAGAAGUGUGGCAAGAGGGUGGAUCGGCUGGAUCAGCGUUGUUCCAAGCUGCGCGUGGCUGGGGGCCAUCCGGGCAACUCACCCUGGACAGUCAGCUUGCGGAAUUGGUGAGGCACAACUGCCUGUCUCCCACAGAGAGGAGCUGAGGCAGGGCCAGCAUUUCUGCGGGGGGUCUCUAGUGAAGGAGCAGUGGAUACUGACUGCCCGGCAGUGCUUCUCCUCCUGCCAUAUGCCUCUCACGGGCUAUGAGGUAUGGUUGGGCACCCUGUUCCAGAACCCACAACAUGGAGAGCCAGGCCUACAGCGGGUCCCAGUAGCCAAGAUGCUGUGUGGGCCCUCAGGCUCUCAGCUUGUCCUGCUCAAGCUGGAGAGAUCUGUGACCCUGAACCAGCGUGUGGCCCUGAUCUGCCUGCCGCCUGAAUGAUAUGUGGUGCCUCCAGGGACCAAGUGUGAGAUUGCAGGCCGGGGUGAGACCAAAGGUACGGGUAAUGACACAGUCCUAAAUGUGGCCUUGCUGAAUGUCAUCUCCAACCAGGAGUGUAACAUCAAGCACCGAGGACAUGUGCGGGAGAGCGAGAUGUGCACUGAGGGACUGUUGGCCCCUGUGGGGGCCUGUGAGGGUGACUACGGGGGCCCACUUGCCUGCUUUACCCACAACUGCUGGGUCCUGAAAGGAAUUAGAAUCCCCAACCGAGUAUGCGCAAGGUCGCGCUGGCCAGCCGUCUUCACGCGUGUCUCUGUGUUUGUGGACUGGAUUCACAAGGUCAUGAGACUGGGUUAGGCCCAGCCUUGACGCCAUAUGCUUUGGGGAGGACAAAACUUGUAAGUACAGUCAAGGACAAGACUUGUACUCAAGGCUGAGAUUUAAUAAAAUUCAUAUUUUUACUACUUCACCAAGGACUUUCUUAAAUGAAAAUGGUUUUUCCCCCUACAAGUAAACAGUAAUAAAGAAGAGAAUUAUUCCUA